UCCAGCCUGCCCAGUGACAAAGUUCAACGGCCACGGUAUCCUAACCGUGCGAAGGUAGCAUAAUCACUUGUUCUUUAAAUGGGGACUCGUAUCAACGGCACCACGAGGGUUAUACUGUCUCCUUUUUCUAAUCAGUGAAAUUAAUCUCCCCGUGAAGAAGCGGGGAUACCCCUAUAAGACGAGAAGACCCCAUGGAGCUUCAAACCCAACUACACCCCUAGUUUCUAUAACUCUCAACCCCCAGGGCCCUGUACAGUUGGUUUUAGGUUGGGGCGACCACGGAGUACAACAAAACCUCCACAAUGAAUGGGACCACCCCCCAUCUAAGAGCUACAACCCUAAGAAUUAGAACACUAACAUAAAAUGAUCCAUUAUUUGAUCAAUGAACCAAGUUACCCUGGGGAUAACAGCGCAAUCCAUUUCAAGAGCCCCUAUCGACAAAUGGGUUUACGACCUCGAUGUUGGAUCAGGAUGUCCUAGUGGUGCAGCAGCUACUGACGGUUCGUUUGKUCAACGAUUAAAACCCU
rnacentral:rRNA from 1 species